GAUGAACGCUGGCGGCGUGCCUAAUACAUGCAAGUCGAGCGAACGGACGAGAAGCUUGCUUCUCUGAUGUUAGCGGCGGACGGGUGAGUAACACGUGGAUAACCUACCUAUAAGACUGGGAUAACUUCGGGAAACCGGAGCUAAUACCGGAUAAUAUUUUGAACCGCAUGGUUCAAAAGUGGAAGACGGUCUUGCUGUCACUUAUAGAUGGAUCCGCGCUGCAUUAGCUAGUUGGUAAGGUAACGGCUUACCAAGGCAACGAUGCAUAGCCGACCUGAGAGGGUGAUCGGCCACACUGGAACUGAGACACGGUCCAGACUCCUACGGGAGGCAGCAGUAGGGAAUCUUCCGCAAUGGGCGAAAGCCUGACGGAGCAACGCCGCGUGAGUGAUGAAGGUCUUCGGAUCGUAAAACUCUGUUAUUAGGGAAGAACAUAUGUGUAAGUAACUGUGCACAUCUUGACGGUACCUAAUCAGAAAGCCACGGCUAACUACGU
rnacentral:rRNA from 1 species